CUAACACAUGCAAGUCGAACGGUAACAGGAAGCAGCUUGCUGCUUCGCUGACGAGUGGCGGACGGGUGAGUAAUGUCUGGGAAACUGCCUGAUGGAGGGGGAUAACUACUGGAAACGGUAGCUAAUACCGCAUAACGUCGCAAGACCAAAGAGGGGGACCUUCGGGCCUCUUGCCAUCGGAUGUGCCCAGAUGGGAUUAGCUAGUAGGUGGGGUAACGGCUCACCUAGGCGACGAUCCCUAGCUGGUCCGAGAGGAUGACCAGCCACACUGGAACUGAGACACGGUCCAGACUCCUACGGGAGGCAGCAGUGGGGAAUAUUGCACAAUGGGCGCAAGCCUGAUGCAGCCAUGCCGCGUGUAUGAAGAAGGCCUUCGGGUUGUAAAGUACUUUCAGCGGGGAGGAAGGCGACAGGGUUAAUAACCCUGUCGAUUGACGUUACCCGCAGAAGAAGCACCGGCUAACUCCGUGCCAGCAGCCGCGGUAAUACGGAGGGUGCAAGCGUUAAUCGGAAUUACUGGGCGUAAAGCGCACGCAGGCGGUCUGUCAAGUCGGAUGUGAAAUCCCCGGGCUCAACCUGGGAACUGCAUUCGAAACUGGCAGGCUAGAGUCUUGUAGAGGGGGGUAGAAUUCCAGGUGUAGCGGUGAAAUGCGUAGAGAUCUGGAGGAAUACCGGUGGCGAAGGCGGCCCCCUGGACAAAGACUGACGCUCAGGUGC
rnacentral:rRNA from 1 species